GUUACUUUUGUAACCUUUAAGGUGAUUUUUGAACUGCAUUGGUUACUUUUAGGUUACACUAAUGAAAAGGUUACUUUUAGGUGAUUUUUCCGGAUUUGUAGAAUUCACUUCGAAUUUUUUUUAAUAAAAGCAACGUGAAACGAAACGCUCGUUUUAGAAUUUUUCAUGUUGGUAAGCUUCGUUAGCAUUGGAACAACACGUUGUACUUUUCCUCUUUUACACUUACACCACUUCUAUCUCGCUCACUCGCUUUCGCUUGACCAGACGGAUCAGAUCGGAUCUUCGGUCAGAUUCAUUCAUUCGUUGUUGUUUGUUUGCCGGCCGCCCCGCGCCGCCACUUAAAUUUGUUGUCAUCGAAAGAUAACCUAAAGUUUGUAUUUUGUGAUUUUAUUGAUAAUUAAUAAUUACAAUAAGACAUAAUUUCCUACUGGACAUUUACUGAAAGCUUGAUAUUUGACGAGUGGCACUUCAGUCAGAAAUUUAUCUACAAGCUUUAGAUUAGGCGAAACAACUAUUAGGUCAAUAAUUAAGGAAGUGUGCAAAGCUGUUAUUGACAAAAUGAUGAGUGUUUAUAUGCCAACGCCUACAGCUGAAGAUUGGGAAAAAAUUACGGAAGGGUUUAAUGACAGGUGGAAUUUCCCAAACUGCAUUGGUGCCAUAGAUGGCAAGCAUAUAAAUAUAAUAGCUUCACCCAACAGCGGAUCGCUCUACUACAACUAUAAAAAACAUUUUUCGAUAGUUCUCUUGGCCAUAGUCGAUGAUAGAUACAGAUUUACAGUUGUUGACAUCGGUGCUUAUGGCAAAAACAGCGACGGUGGUAU